rnacentral:lncRNA from 1 species
AAAACACAAAAGUUAAAAAAUGUGAGUUGUAAUGAAAGUUUUAGAGGACACGUUUUCUCUUAUUUAUGUUCCGACGUGUUCUCUCACUAUAAGGGAAGUGUCGGCUUGCCGGUCCAAACGACGACUGCUGUGUGGCGUCAAGGGACGACUCUUUCGUCGAUUCUUUUUAGCUUUAGAUUUUUUUUCUUUCCUUUGAAGAAAAACGAGACAAAAAAAAUUCUCCCGUUUCACCGUAAAUUCAAUUUUGAACCAAAAAACAAAUUCACAUAAAAUAGUGUGACAAGUCGGGACUUGUUUUUCUCCGAAUUGUUUUCGUCUGCAAUCGCACCUUUUGCAUAAUAAUAACAAACUCUUGCAAGAAGUUUCACAAGUGGAGAAUGUAUCAUAAUAACGAGUGAUCUCUCUCGAGUGCUAAAAGUUCUUUGUGUUUGUUUCAACGACACGAGCACUUGAAGAAGAAGAAACUCUGAUGAGAAAGUUCAUUUCUUACGACUCGCAGCCAGAGCGCUGAGUGCUGCAUGUAGAAGAUGAGAUGCUGAUGCCUUUUCCUAGUAAAGAAAGGCCGUCGUGUGUCACACAGAGACGUUCUCGGCUGUCGUGUCGUUUAUUAUACAAGACGAGAGAUAUAUAGUGUGUAAUCGAGUCGCGCUGUGUUCAUUUCACACAGCAAAUGAAAUUAGAUUCACCGUGAAGACGAAAAGUCACCCUCUCUUUCCAAAUGUUUUAUUUCACAUUAUUUUCUCUAGCUUUUUGCCCAGCAGAGAGAGAAGAACCAUAUGCUCACGUCUUAUCCACACGAAUAACAAAUGUCCAAAAAGGGAAAACUUUUCUGUGCUCACGUAAUUGACGGUUAGCGUGAUAGUCCAUUUUUCUACGACGUUUGGCACAAAUGCGAAAAAACAAGUCUGAAAAUUUUCCCUCCAACAAAAAGGUAAGAAUAAUAUUUCCUUAUAAAGAAGACUUGUAAGACUUGUAACCCGCCUCCGGCUUCUGAUUGAGGUUAUAAUGUCAUAUCACGAAUGAGUGAACGAUGAAGCCCCCUGGAAGAAGAAGAAGAAGCAUGUCGUCAUCAUCAUCAUCAUUUUUCUUAGCAUCUCUCUUUUUAUCUCUAGUACACAUGAUGGGGGCCAAAAAGAUAUUUUACAUUCUGAGCCUAUAUCAUCUGACUUACAUCACUAGAUGUUGCUAGAUAGUGUGUAUAUACCGUUACGGGCCACGGAAACCUCCGCACUGCGCGUUUUCUCUUUUGAAUUUAACUAGGAACAAAUCGGGUUUUCUUUUUUGAUUUCUUAAUCAUCAUCUUUUCGGUGAUAACCAGAAAUUAUUUCUUCUAUAAAUAUUGGCUCUAGUUUUUUUUUUCUUUUCUUUUCUCCUUUGUUCCUUUUUUUCCUCGCAGCUUUGCACGUGUUUGACUUUGAGUACAUAAAGGAGCAGCUGUUCUCCGUCUUUUUUUUCCUCCAACGUUCGGGAAAUUCUAUUUUCGGUCGACGUGCCUUUAUAAGACAAAACAAAAAUGUAGUCGGGACUCUCUCUCUGGUUUUUGGCUAGCCAAAAAGGUUUCGUCAGAGCCACCCGCUCUCUGUGUGUGUGUCAUAGCUUCGAAAUUCUGCGCAGCCCCCACUCACGCUCACUGUGUAUAAUUGGACGACAUUUACUCGGAUACAAGUCGAUUUUUCUUUUAUACCUUUAACGUAGUAUUCAUCGAAAAAGUUGUUGCCAUCUUAUAUUGCCCGUCGCCAUGGAGAAGUGAAGCCUCUGCGGCUGUAUUACUUAGAGACCCAUCAAUAAAUCGAUUUCGCGCAUGUAGUCACGAAGACAGACAACUAUAGGCUCUAUAUAAUAGUCAACUUUUUUUUUGCCUUUUCAACUGUUUCUCCGAAGAAGAAGCUCAAAGGAGACCCUUUUUGCUCCGACGUAGAUCCCCCUUUUUUUAUUUAUUUGAUGGACUACGUGACGUCAUAUACAUACAAGAGCCCCGGCAGAUUAAGCUCCGUGAUGGGCAACUCGAAUGCGACUCACGUUGUGUGUGUGUGCCCAAGAGUUUAUAGGAUCCAAAGUGCACUACAUCAAGUCGGUUGGAAUUUCACUAAAUCGAUCGAGAUUGUGCCAGAAUUUCAGGAGGAUAUUUGACUGUCGGUCUUGAAGGAGAUGCGGAAUUUAAGUUGGAAAAAAAGGGAUGGAUGGAUAGAAAGGGAUAGACUAUAUACACUCCUUCAUCCCCGACAUUGUACAUAUUAUAUAGAUUUAAUCCCUGGCUUAUUUAUUCGCCCUUCUUUUAUUUUUUUCUUCUCAGACCGCGCCAGGAUUUUCUAUUUGACGGAAUAGAUCCUUUCGUGUGCUCUCCUUUUAUAUAUUUACCAGGAUCCCAGACGCCCAUGGAUCAAGUCUUCCUCCUUUUCUGUUUCCAAAGUGAUACACGACUUUCCGGGUUUGUCAGACUCUCUUUUGUGUCUGGGGCGGAGAGAGAAAAAUAUUCUGCUGAUUCUUUAACUCUUUUAUAGCAGCGGCGCAUAUGUGCUGGGAUAUAUAUAUUCUGCCAGACUAUAUUGCGGCUAUUAUGUCAAUCCAGCUAUACGUGGCCUCCUUUUUUCUUUCUUCCCUAUAUACUACAUCUGCAUAAAUUGAAUUUCCAUAUUGACACCCUUUUUAUUUCUCGUUAAAAAAUAAUUUCGAUCGAUAUUUUUUCCGGUGGUAAGAGCUUCCUACUAUUAAUGUUGGGUGUAGUAUUUUUUAAAUUCCCAUGUAAGGGAAAAUGUACAUAAGAUUGUAAUCUGCCCAGCUGCCCGAUAAGACGAUGACCGACUACCUACCAAAAAAACACAUUUCUCCUUGCACCCUCCCAAACAUGUGUGUGUGUAGAUAUCAUCGGUGAACACGAGAGAAUCCCGAUGCGGAUGAAGGUGAUGGAGCUGAAGUGAUUCAUCUCUUGUAUAUAAAAGAUACAGCCAUCACCGCUCGGCCCGUGUCCCUUUUUAUUCUCUCCGUUUUCACCGAUAGUCAUCUAAAACGCACGGCCAUCACUUGAGCAGAACACCAAAAAAACGUGUAUAAUAUCUUCUAUUUUGCUUGCAUAAUUGCACGAUUAUACACAUCAUCCAUUACAUUUUUCACAUGCGCUUGUACAGCAGAGUCCCGGAUGUAAAUACUAGACUAACAUUGAUGUUAUUUUUCUUGAAAAUGGAAAAAAUGAUUUGCAUGAAUUUCUUGAUGGAAUAGAAUGACAUUGCGCUAUUCAGGCAAAUCGUAUGGAAUGGUUACAACAAGUGAUUUUGAUAUGAAUAUUGUAAUUUUAAAAAGUUGUUACGUAUGUGUGAGAGAGA